rfam:Oscillatoriales cyanobacterium CG2_30_44_21 cg2_3.0_scaffold_290_c, whole genome shotgun sequence.
GGCAGCUUGGCUCAGGUGGUUAGAGCGACGGUCUCAUAAUCCGUAGGUCCCGGGUUCAAGUCCCGGAGCUGCUA